GCUCUCCUCUCCUGCUAAGCUUUGUUUCCUGGCAGUAAUUAAAACCUUCUGCCACUGCCGUAGCUACAGCUGUUGUUGCUGGAACUGCCAUAGCCACCUUGGUUUUGUGGUUUGGCAAAGUACUAGCUUCUAUCACCAUAGGGACUAGAGCUUCUGCCUCUAAAUUUCCACCUUUCAUGGGUCCAAGAUUUUACGAUUGAUUGUCAUUGCCGAAAUCAUCAUAGCUUCGGCCACCUCCCAAAUUGCUUCCAUUGUUACCAAAUCUGCUACAGCCAGCUUCACUCCCACUAUAUCCACCACCAUCUCAACUGCCACCAAAGCCACCCCACCUACCGCAGUUUCCUCCCUGAUGAAAGUUGUCAUUCCCAUCAAAACCACAACCACUUCCAUGACGGCCACCGAAGUUUCCAGAACGACUUCUGAGAAGGAAGAAGUGCUUGUCAUCUCUUAACUAGGACUCUCCUUCACAGAUGUGGCCACAGUGGCAUUUUUGAAUGACGAUCUUGCCUGCGGAGUCACUGUCCUCAAGUUCUAAAACCAAAGCCUGUCAUCUUGCCACUUGUCCUCUCAAUCACUUCAAUUUUCCCAUACUGCUCAAAAUUAUCUCUUCGAUGAUGGUCUUCAGGGUCAUCUUUAGGGCCACCAACAACCUUUUUCACAGUUAAGUGGGCACCAGGUCUUUGAGAAUCUUUUGAGACUGCCCUCUUUGGUUCUACAACCCUUCCAUCCACUUUGUGUGGUCUUGUGUUCGUGGCUGCACCCACCUCCUCCACAGUGGGUUUGGGUGACAAACCCAAAGCCUUUGGGGCACUUGCUGUUUGGAUCUCUCAUAACCACACAGUCCAUGAAUGUUCCCUAUUGCUCAAAAUGGCUCCUCAGACUCAUUAGUUGUUUCAAAGCUCAAACCUUUGAUGAAGAGCUUCUUCAGCUGUUCAGGCUCUUUGGGAGACCCUGACUUAGACAAUGAUGGGGAGUGGGUGGGGAGACCAUGCUUCCUCAGGCAGCCAGUGGCAUCCGUGGGCAGAAA
rnacentral:lncRNA from 1 species